CCUACGGGUGGCAGCAGUGAGGAAUAUUGGUCAAUGGACGCAAGUCUGAACCAGCCAUGCCGCGUGCAGGAAGACGGCUCUAUGAGUUGUAAACUGCUUUUGUACGAGGGUAAACGCAGAUACGCGUAUCUGUCUGAAAGUAUCGUACGAAUAAGGAUCGGCUAACUCCGUGCCAGCAGCCGCGGUAAUACGGAGGAUUCAAGCGUUAUUCGGUUUUAUUGGGUUUAAAGGGUGCGUAGGCGGUCGGAUAAGUUAGAGGUGAAAUCCCGAGGCUCAACUUCGGAAUUGCGUCUGAUACUGUUCGGCGAGAGAGUAGUUGCGGUAGGCGGAAUGUAUGGUGUAGCGGUGAAAUGCUUAGAGAUCAUACAGAACACCGAUGGCGAAGGCAGCUUACCAAGCUACUUCUGACGUUGAGGCACGAAAGCGUGGGGAGCAAACAGGAUUAGAUACCCGAGUAGUC
rnacentral:rRNA from 1 species